rnacentral:rRNA from 1 species
GUGCCAGCAGCCGCGGUAAUACGGAGGAUCCGAGCGUUAUCCGGAAUUAUUGGGUUUAAAGGGUUCGUAGGCGGUCAGAUAAGUCAGUGGUGAAAUUUCUUAGCUUAACUAAGACACGGCCAUUGAUACUGUUUGACUUGAAUAGUAUGGAAGUAACUAGAAUAUGUAGUGUAGCGGUGAAAUGCUUAGAUAUUACAUGGAAUACCAAUUGCGAAGGCAGGUUACUACGUACUUAUUGACGCUGAUGAACGAAAGCGUGGGGAGCGAACAGGAUUAGAUACCCUGGUAGUCCACGCCGUAAACGAUGGAUACUAGCUGUUCGGUUUUCGGACUGAGUGGCUAAGCGAAAGUGAUAAGUAUCCCACCUGGGGAGUACGUUCGCAAGAAUGAA